CAAAUGAAUUGACGGGGGCCCGCACAAGCGGUGGAGCAUGUGGUUUAAUUCGAUGCAACGCGAAGAACCUUACCUGGUCUUGACAUCCACAGAACUUUCCAGAGAUGGAUUGGUGCCUUCGGGAACUGUGAGACAGGUGCUGCAUGGCUGUCGUCAGCUCGUGUUGUGAAAUGUUGGGUUAAGUCCCGCAACGAGCGCAACCCUUAUCCUUUGUUGCCAGCGGUCCGGCCGGGAACUCAAAGGAGACUGCCAGUGAUAAACUGGAGGAAGGUGGGGAUGACGUCAAGUCAUCAUGGCCCUUACGGCCAGGGCUACACACGUGCUACAAUGGCAUAUACAAAGAGAAGCGACCUCGCGAGAGCAAGCGGACCUCAUAAAGUAUGUCGUAGUCCGGAUUGGAGUCUGCAACUCGACUCCAUGAAGUCGGAAUCGCUAGUAAUCGUAGAUCAGAAUGCUACGGUGAAUACGUUCCCGGGCCUUGUACACACCGCCCGUCACACCAUGGGAGUGGGUUGCAAAAGAAGUAGGUAGCUUAACCUUCGGGAGGGCGCUUACCACUUUGUGAUUCAUGACUGGGGUGAAGUCGUAACAAGGUAACCGUAGGGGAACCUGCGGUUGGAUCACCUCCUUACCUUAAAGAA
rnacentral:rRNA from 1 species